GGUAUUCAUGUAAUGAAGUCAUCAAUGUCUCAAUACCUACUUUGACUGCCUUGAAUGAAUGUACAGUCUCUUUUCAGAAGGGAGGGAAUGAAGAAAUGAGCUUGGUAGACUAAACAGUCUUCUAGAAGGAAGUUGGUGAGAUCAGACUCUGUCAGAUCCUCCUUUGUUCCACAUUAGGUAUUAUUUCUCAAGGGAUUGAUACUAAAUAAGUUGGGGAAAUGUAAGGUGGAAAUUGUAUGCACUACUAGUAGUUAAAUUUUUGUGUUUUUUCCCCCUAAGGAUUUAAGGAAAGGCAAUUAGCUUUUAAAGAGGACUUCUCCCAACUGAUAAUCACAUUUGACUAUAAAAUAAGCUUCAAGUUCUUUGAAGACCUGGCUCUGACAGUUCAUACUGUUAAAGAUUUAGGUGAGGGUUGAGCGAAUGGAAGCUUCUAUAUGGGAUCCUGCAGCACGCUUUUCUUUGGGUGCGGUGAAGGGUGAUGUUUUUCUGUACUGGAGAGCAGAUGACUAGUACAUGUAAGCCUAAUUUCUAGGUUUGGACAUUGGGUAAAGUAAACUUAUAAAGCAUUCUCAAUCCCCACUUGUUAAUAAAAUAGUUUAUGGGUAUUUAUAACAUAAAUCAUACGUUUCAAUUACCUGAAUAUUGGAAGCCAGUGAAGAGUCAAGAAUCACCUUAAACCUUUAUAAAGCAUUGAGAUCCCAAAGAAUAUAUGUGUCUGUAACCACCUGUGCAGAAGUGAUCAUUUGCAGGUAGAUGAGCUCCUGUGAAAGCUGGGAUGGGAAGUCCUAAAGUGUGAAAAGCUUUGGUAAGUUUUCCUUUAUGACCAUGGAUCAUAUAUUUUUUUUUUGAUACUUGCUUUGGUGUUCCUACUUAGAAAACUUAUCUGUUUUUCAACUUUCAAGUGAAAACAAGAAACAGUUAUUAAAAUACCUUAACUUUCUAUAUGGGGAUUCUGAAUACAAGAGAGAAUAGAAAUUUA